UGGGGAAUAUUGCACAAUGGGGGAAACCCUGAUGCAGCGACGCCGCGUGGAGGAAGAAGGUCUUCGGAUUGUAAACUCCUGUUGUUGAGGAAGAUAAUGACGGUACUCAACAAGGAAGUGACGGCUAACUACGUGCCAGCAGCCGCGGUAAAACGUAGGUCACAAGCGUUGUCCGGAAUUACUGGGUGUAAAGGGAGCGCAGGCGGGAAGACAAGUUGGAAGUGAAAUCCAGGGGCUCAACCCAUGAACUGCUUUCAAAACUGUUGUUCUUGAGUAGCGCAGAGGUAGGCGGAAUUCCCGGGGUAGCGGUGGAAUGCGUAGAUAUCGGGAGGAACACCAGUGGCGAAGGCGGCCUUCUGGGCACCAACUGACGCUGAGGCUCGAAAGUGUGGGUAGCAAACA
rnacentral:rRNA from 1 species